UUUUAGUGAUUGUUGUGUUUUUUUUUAUUAUUUAAAUUGUAUAUAUGGGAAGCAUAUCCCUUUGUAUUUUUUUUCUUUUCUGUUCUUCUCUCACUUUCUUUCUAAUUAAUAUUUUGUGAGACAAUUUCAGUUGUACAUAUUUUUAGAUGUCUCUCUGUAUUUUUUUAAAUAGUUUGCAAUCCAUUUAUUGUUUAUUUAUCAUUGCAUACAAGAUAAUAACAUUUGAUAUAUUGCAGAAACCUUUAAAAAGUCACGUUAUUUUAUAUUGCAGAAAUCUUUAAAAAGUCACUAUGGCUGAUUAUUCAGUUUAUAAAAAACUUAUAUAUUGUUGAACCUUACCCAAGAAAUCCAUGAAAAAGAUCUUCCCACACAAUAAUAAUGACACAAACAUGAAAAAUGAUAUAUCCUACAACGUUUUAGUGUAGCAGGUUAAAAGAGUUUUUACACAACAACAUACAUACCACAGAGUGCUUCUUGAAAUAGGGAUUUUUUAUUGACUUUAAAAUUGAAAUAUUUAUAAAUAUAAGGGAUUUUUUAUUGCCUUUAAAAUUGAAAUAUUUAUGAAUAUAAAAUUAUGUUGUCCAUAAAUGUAUUAUUGUUAGAAAUAUUUUCAACAUCCUUGGAAAUUAAAACAUGGAGGACAUGUUCAAGGAGUAUGCACAAUGAAUAAAGGAAUGCUCUUGAAACACAUUUUCACAUAAUUGAAAUGUUUGUGUCAGGAAGGGGAGGUUACUCAUCAAAAUAUUACAAUGCAUUUAACAGUAUUAAAAAUAAUCAACAGACAUAGUAAAGAAAAUUUGUAUGAUAAUUAAAUUUUGUUUUCUGUAUAUAUGAUGAAAAUUAUAAAACAUUUUUCAUGCAAUUAUAUUGUGAUAUUUACAGUUGUAUUAUCAAAAGAGGGAAAAAAGAUCAAAUUUUGGCUACUUUAUUACUAACAAGGUCAUCUUCACAGUAUGUUAUUUUCCUGUACUGUUAGGUGUAUGUUUACCAGUAGUGUAUGUUUUGACAGUACAUCCUUUAAAUGUCCAUUUGUGAUUUUCUAUUUAUAUCUGUGGUAUUAAAGUUAAAGCUUGUUUAGUUAUCAAUUGUGUUAUGUUGAGAAUUUCUAAUGAAUUAUUUGUCAUAAUCAGUGCUGUAAAAAUAGGUCUUUGUCUGUAAGUUUGUUCUAAUUUUCAACGAUUGUCUUACUAUGAGUUUGAGGGAGAACUUUUUAGUGCUCCCUGCCUUUAGUGCUUGCCAAAUAUUUUAAAAUUCAUGCAUUUUCAUAAAACUUUACUUGUUUUUUGCAUCAGCUGACAAUUGAUGAGGUUUCAAUUUAAUUUUAUUUCCUUUAUGAAGAUUUAUAAUACCUCUACCAACAUGUGUUCUAAAAGCAAUGCUCUUUUAAAAACUAAAAUAAAUCAUAAACAAAUGAAAUGAUGUGUGUAAAUAUGAAUUGUAUCAAAACUUUUGACUACUUAAAAUACCUAAUAAAUUCAUAUUUUUUCAAAUUACUUGUUUUGUUUUGCCUUAGUCUCCCUGUCCCUCUCCCUUUAAACAGACAAAAAAAUCAAACAAAUUACUUUUAAUA
rnacentral:lncRNA from 1 species